AUUUAGCUGACGAGUCCCAAAUGGGACGAAGUGCGCAUCCUGUAU
rfam:Schistosoma mattheei strain Denwood, Zambia genome assembly, scaffold: SMTD_scaffold0005696